UGAUAAUGUGUUGUCCAGUACAUUUUCCAUAGAUUACACUUGUGCAUGACUUUCAAGGUGUAAACAAGCAAAGAAACCAGGGCUGAAUACCUAAAGAGUGCAAGUGCUUAAAACCACAACAGCCUCAAACUAGAAAAUACGGGAGAAUCACAAGGAAACAAAAAUCUAACACAAGCAACCUGUACAAAUGUAUAUUAGCAGUACUUUUAUCUCUCAUAAAAACCCACCCACCCCACGGAGCAACUCAACCCUUCCAUCCAGGAUAACUCAUAUUGUUGUCAAGAUCACUGCUAAGAAAACCAUUUUCAGCAAAUUCCUGAACCAUCUCAGGGGUAAGAAUAUCAUCAUCUGAUACAUGCAUAUUUGUGGGCAAAUCUGGACCUUUUCGACUGAAGCCACUGUUGCCAGCCGAUGAAGACGGUUCACAGUUAGAUCCCGAUUUGAAACUGUAACUUCGGGGCAAAUCUGGAGCUUUUUGACUGAAACCACUGUUGCCAACCAAUGGAGAGGGUUCACGGUUGGAUGCUGAUUUAAAACUGUAGAUUCUACUCGGUGUGGGUCCUAAACUGCUCCCCGGCCCAUGAGAAGAUGUUGCAGCAGCUAGGGAACCAUUGUUGCCAAAUGCAAGCCCUUCCCUCGAGGCACUACCACCUCCCCCACUCUGUCCAGAAAGGCACUGCUGUUGAACUCCAGACCCAUUGUUGCCAAAAGCAACCCCUUCCCUCGAAGCACUACCACCUCCACUCUGUCCAGAAAGGCACUGCUGUUGAACUCCAGACCCAUUGUUGCCAAAAGCAACCCCUUCCCUCGAAGCACUACCACCU
rnacentral:misc_RNA from 1 species